CAGCUGACGGAGCAUACUGCGUGGAGAUGAAGGCUCGUGGGCUGUAAACUCCUUUUCCUAGAGAAGAAGUUCUGACGGUAUCUAGGGAAUAAGCAUCAGCUAACUGCGUGCCAGCAGCUGCGGUAAUACGUGGGAUGCAAGCGUUAUCCGGAUUUAUUGGGCGUAAAGCGUCUGUAGGUGGCUUCGCAAGUUUGAUGUUAAAUCAUUCAGCUUCACUGAAUUUAAGCAUCAAAAACUAUGGAGCUUGAGUGUGGUAGAGGAAGAGGGAAUUCCCUGUGGAGCGGUGAAAUGCGUAGAGAUAGGGAAGAACACCAAUGGCGAAAGCACUCUUCUGGGCCUGCACUGACACUGAGAGACGAAAGCUAGGGGAGCGAGUAGGAUUAGAUACCCUAUUAGUCCUAGCCGUAAACGAUGGGAAC
rnacentral:rRNA from 1 species